AAUAUUCUUUUUUGCGUUUUAUUUAGAACCUCAAAACUCGUUUUUACGUAGCAACACUCCUAGCCUUGCUCCCAAUACUUGGCUUCAAUGUACCCAUUCCUUCAAUCCCUUUGUUUAUAUGUCUCCACAGUUUCUCAAAGCGGCCAGCUUUCUUCUCGUCGGUUUUCAGGAAGGACCCGAUUCGAUCAAGCCCGUCUCUCUUGAUUUUGACGGCAGUUCAUGCACGUAUGACUUUCGACUGCUGUGGUUUGUUUAAAUCUCUAUUGAUUCUUGAUGUUUGGUUAUUUGGAUGUGGAUUGAUAUUUUAUAAAUGAUGUUUUCCUUCUUCAACAAUGCGCAUGCUUUCUAGUAGUGAGUGAUCAUCGAUGACAAUGACUGAGGCUUCCUGUUUGGGUCUUGACAAAGAGUAUGACGAAGUGUGCACACCAGGGUUUAGAUUCCACCCAAGGGAUGAGGAGCUGGUUCUUUUAUACUUGAAGAGGAAAAUCUGCGAGAAAUGGCUACUGAAAGAUAUCAUCCGUGCGGUUGAUGUCUACUAGAGGGAUCCUGAGGAAUUACCUGUAAUCAUAUGUCACUAAAAAAUGAAUUGUAUUUUCUGGGCAAUCCAUAUUGAAGACAAGAGAUAGACAAUAGUUCUUCUUCUGUCCAAGGGAUAGGAAGUAUCCUAAUAGGGCAAAGGUCAAAUAGGGCGACCAGACAUGGGUAUUGGAAAGCUACAGGAAAGAAUCGAAAUAUCACUUACAAUUCAAGGAAUGUUGGAGUGAAGAAGACCUUAGUUUUCUAUAUAGGCUGAGCUCCUAAUGGUGAGAGAACUGACUGGGUGAUACAUGAGUACACUUUGGAUGAAGAGGAACUCAAAAGAUGCCAAAAUGUUCAGGAUUAUUGUGCACUUUACAAGAAAAGUGGACCUGGUCCAAAGAAUGGUGAGCUGUAUGGAGCACGAUUUAAGGAAGAAGACUGGGUUGAUGAUGAAUAUGCAGUUGUGAAUAACUAACACUCUUGAUAAGCAGCCUAAUGCAGUCAUUCCAUCUGUUGUUACCAUAAAGGCUGUUGCUCAGGUGGAGCAACCAUUAAUUGAUCUUCAGGAGUUCAAUAUAUAAAUUGUUAAUGAAAAUCCACUAUGAAUUACAAAAACUCCAAUCACUAGCACUUCCCCGUUUUGGAAACGUUUACAAGACGGAAAUGGUAUGAAGCGCCCAUGACACGUUUCAAGGCCGUGUCCAAAAAAAUCAAAAGAUGGAAUCGCAUUUCCGACGGCCGGAGAUGGCUUUUAGCUUGCUAUUGGCGUUUGUUAAUCCUCCCCGUAGAACCCAUCGUGAAGCUGCUUAAAGCCACCGUUAAUCCCAUCUUAUUUCAUGUCUGAACUUGCUGGAUUGAUUAGUUGCUUCACCAGCAUCGCAAAGUGGUCUGAGUCUCAGUCGGUGAUGGUCAGGGGGUAGAGGAGUUGAUGAGGAGAGGAGACAUGAAAGAGAGAAGGGUGGUGGCAUGUACUUUUAGUUUGUUUUUAGGGUCUUGCCAUUUAAGGAAGAGGACUGGGCUGAUGAUGAAUAAGCAGUUGUGAAUUAGGAAGACAUGGAAGAGAGAAGGGUGAUGCCAUAUACUUUUAGUUUGUUUUUAGGUAGUGCCAUUUGAGGAAGAAGACUGGGCUGAUGAUGAAUGUGCAGUUGUGAAUAACUCUUAACACUCUUUUUAAGCAGCCUAAUGCAAUCAUUCCACCUAUUGAUACCAUAAAGGUUGUUGCUCAGGUUGAGCAACCAUUAAUUGAUCUUGAGGAGUUAAAUAAACAAAUUGUUGAUGAAAAUCCAUUUCACCAACCCCAAAUCAGUGAUUAUGAUUAUACUAAUGGGCUACAACAGGUACACGAUCUGGGUCAUGAAAAUGAGCAAAUCAUAAAUCAGCAAAAAUUACAUAGAAAGAUGGCAAAGAUUCAAGGAGGAUAGAUAGAGCAAGGAGAAGAAUAAGGAGCGGAGAAGAAGAUCAACUGCUGUCAUGUGUCAGCUGUAUUACAAUUGAAUAUUGUUUUAUUAUUAAAUUUUUUUAAUCUCUAACUUACUUCUUUAAAAUAAACUUUUUAGUUAUUUUAAUUAUUUUUCUAAGAAUGAAAUUCGUUAUUAAAUUUUA